rnacentral:lncRNA from 1 species
GGGAAAACUCUCGGUUUCUACUGGGCGUGGCUUCAAGAUUCUACUGGGCGUGGCUUCAAGAUUCUACUGGGCGUGGCUUCAAGAUUCUACUGGGCGUGGCUUCAAGAUGGCAGGUGGUUUCACCUUUCAGUAGUCUCUGAGUUUAUGCGGGUUUUAUUCAACAGGUUUCCAAAGUCAGUUUUUAUUAUCUCACCCUUCUUCCUCACCUUUUGCUACAGAACCUUUACUUCCUGCCGCUACUAAGAUCCAAGCCCCCGUUCACCACAGCUAACGUUUUUCUUCACCGCAGAGUUGGUUCCCUCCUAAGGAUCGCUGUUGGAACAUCUGGACUCAGCUUCCAGAGACACACGGGUUUCAAUAUGUUACCUUCCACGUGUGGACAUGCGAUCUUGCUUGGAUGGAGUUUGUUUCUGGAGCUGUGGUGAACUGUAAGGAGAAGAAACAGAACUUGAGAAUGAAAUGGGGGCACUACUGAUUACACAGGGCCAGCAGGCAUAAACCAGAACUGUCUUGGGGAAACUGGGACAAAGCCCACCGGGACCCUGAGACCCACUGAUGAUCGCACUUCGGCGCAUCAGGCAGGUGGCGACCAUCACGAUGGCUGACACAGUUAUGACGGCAAGGUUCACAGCGACAACCAUAGCAAUAACGUGGCCACGCGGAGCACAACGCGGUCUCCAACACCGACAACAUCUGGAGCCUAGGAGGCCCACGAUAAGUAUUUGCUGGAUCCAUGAAUAAAUUAGCACCCGUUGUCA